GGUCACGUGGCCGGCAAGGCCGUUGGGCGGGGGCCUGGCCGGUGCUCCGCAGCUGUCUGUGACACCCGGAGCCCGCGGGCCGCUUCGGCCCCCAGAGAGCCCGGCAUGGUACGCGCGGGCGCCGUGGGGUCGCAUCUCCCUGCGUCCGGCUUGGACAUCUUUGGGGAUCUGAGGAAGAUGAACAAGCGCCAGCUCUAUUACCAGGUCUUAAACUUUGCCAUGAUUGUGUCUUCUGCGCUCAUGAUCUGGAAAGGCCUGAUCGUCCUCACUGGCAGCGAGAGUCCCAUCGUGGUGGUGCUGAGUGGCAGCAUGGAGCCCGCCUUUCACAGGGGCGACCUUCUGUUCCUAACAAAUUUCCGAGAAGACCCGAUUAGAGCUGGUGAAAUCGUUGUUUUUAAAGUCGAAGGCCGAGACAUUCCAAUAGUUCACAGAGUAAUCAAAGUUCAUGAAAAAGAUAAUGGAGACAUCAAAUUUCUGACUAAAGGAGAUAAUAAUGAAGUUGACGAUAGAGGCUUGUACAAAGAAGGCCAGAACUGGCUCGAAAAGAAGGAUGUGGUGGGGAGAGCCAGAGGGUUUUUACCAUAUGUUGGUAUGGUCACCAUAAUAAUGAACGACUAUCCAAAAUUCAAGGGAUUAUGUCUGAGCUGAUGCAGCCCUUGCACAGCUGCUCAUAACCACGACCUGCUGAAAACGGAUUUACGCAAAACGCCUGCCACCAACCCACCCUGCUGCUACACACACGCCCACGUGUGCAGGGAGGCCUUUUACAGUGUCAUGGAGCAGUGUGUUCUGUGGAACAACGGAGAAAGCUCAACGCUUAUUGAACAGAAGUCCCUGGGACUCUCACCCACUGCUUUUAGCUUCUAAAGCAACACAUCAAAAGUUUACUCACUUCCAAAUGACAACCCUUCAAGUGUUGGAAAACAAUCUGGUCCCUCUUCAGACUUCCCUCCUCCUGGCAACACGUCCUCAGUUCCUUCAGAAUGGAAAGAAUUGAGCAAUUCUUAACUACCUGUUAUACAUGCCAAGUGCCUUAGAUGGAGGGUGUGAUCAUCUUCAAAUUCCCUGUGAGUAUCUGCAUCGCAGAUAGGGAAACUGCGGCUCAGGGAAUUGAAAUAACUUAGCCUAAGAUCCUAAGGUUAAUAAAGCAAGUUUGACUAA